GAUUGCUAAGCAGUGGUGAUGGCCCACUUGAGAUUGGUGAAUUUGUUGUAUGAAAACUUUAGACAAAUUUUCUCCUAAGGAUUGCUUUGGAAACAUUCUAAAAGUUUUGAUAGAGAUCAAUGGAGAAGAAGUGGAGUCCUUUUUUAAAACAUGAGAAUGAUCUUUGCUUUAAGGAUAUUUAUUUGGCAGCUGUGGGGAAGAUGUGUUGGAGAAGGAAGAGACUUGAUACAGCAUCAAUUAGAAGGCUGUGGAGAUAGUCCAGGAAUGAGUUUGUUGUGCUAUUCUGUUUUGGGAGGAGUAUAUGAAUAAAGACAACUGAAAAGAUGAAGAAACUGAAGCUCAAAGAAGUUAAAUGAUUCACUAGUGGUCUCACAGGUAGUAAGUAUCAGAGCCAUGAUUCAAAACCAGCAGGAUCUCCUGAGUUAAGGUCCAGCAAUCUUUCUUCUAAACCACAGUGGAAAAAACAGUAAUCUUCAUCAAUACAGGAUAGAAUGAUUCUAUUGAGUUUCCGUUUGAUGAAUUCACUUCUGGACAUAAAAAGCUAUAUAUUUUUUCAGAUGUAGAAACAUUCAUAAUUGAGUAAAUCUGAACACUCUGAAAAUGUGUAGGUGGAAGGGAAAGAGGCCUUGAGAAAGUCUCAGGCUUACUUGAAGAUUUUUCCUUUCACUUGGGAAGAAUAGCAGUACCAGUAACAAAAGCAGAGGGUAACUAAUCACCCAGAGAGGAAUGAUCCAAGAAAAGAAGAAAAAAGAUGUGAAAAAUAUAUAA
rnacentral:lncRNA from 1 species